rnacentral:lncRNA from 1 species
GAUUAUCCUGACUUAUGCAGGUGGGCUCAGUGUAAACACAUAGGUACUCAGAAGUGACUAUGGUGAGAGUGAUGUGAGAACUUUACCUGCUGUUGCCACCUGAAGAUAAUGAAAGGGGCCAUGAGUCAAGGAAUAUGGGAGGCCUCUAGAAGCUAGAAGAGAAAAAAAAAAAACAAAACAAAAACAUAUUCUCUCCUAGAGCCUCCAAAGAGCAAAGUGCCAAUGAGACCCAUCCUGGACUUCUAACCAAAAGAAUUGUAAGAUAAUAAGUUUGUGUUGUUUUUAAGCCAGUAAAGACCCUGCUGAUGAAACAGGUUGCAGGAAAGAAGCCAGCCAAAACCCACUGAAACCAAAAUAGUCACAACAGUGACCUCUGGUCAUCCUCCCUGCUACAUUCCCACCAGUGCUGUGACAGUUUACCAAUGCCGUGACAUCAGGAAGUUACCCUAUAUGGUCUAAAAGGGGGAAGCAUGAAUAAUCCAUCCUUUGUUUAGCAUAUAAACAGGAUAUAACCGUAAAAAUAGGCAACAAGCAGCCCUCACGGCUACUCUAUCUAUAGAGAAGCCAUUCUUUUAUUCCUUUAUUUUCCAAAUAAACUUGCUUUCACUUUAUGCUAUGGACUCCCCUUGAAUUCUUUCUUGCUUGAGAUUCAAGAAUCCUCUUUUGGGGUCUGGAUAAGAAGCCUUUCCUGUAACAGCUUUCUGGUGAUUAUGAAGAGACCGUAGUGAGGAAACCCCGGAACCAAAGGAUAACUUUGGGUAAGUGUUGGGGUCGUGUAACAUCUUCCUGGCAAACCCUGAAGGGAUGAUACUAAGGAGACCUCCCCCCAACCCAAGGAAAUAGACUGCAGCACUGAUUGGACAACUUUGGAUAAGUGGUGGAGUACCUACUCAGGUAAAGAAUGGGAUUGGGAUAGAGGCC